ACUAUUUUGGCAGAAAAGUGUCUUGGUUUUAGAAAUCAUAAAUAUAUAAAUUAUUAUAUAAAUAGUA
rnacentral:tRNA from 1 species